UGGUUCUGGCAUCGAUGAAGAACGCAGCGAAAUGCGAUAAGUAAUGUGAAUUGCAGAAUUCAGUGAAUCAUCGAAUCUUUGAACGCACAUUGCGCCCAUUAGUAUUCUAGUGGGCAUGCCUGUUCGAGCGUCAUUUCAACCCUUAAGCACCGCUUAGUGUUGGGAGACUACUCUGGCGGACCUACCCUGUGGCUACCCCGUAGCCACCCCGUAGCGACCCCGUAGCUCCCUAAAGUCAUCGGCGGAGUCGUGGUAUCCUCUGAGCGUAGUAGCUAUAAUCUCGCUUUUGCAGGUGCCGCGGCCCCCGCCGUAAAACCCCAAACUUUCAAUGGUUGACCUCGGAUCAGGUAGGAAUACCCGCUGA
rnacentral:misc_RNA from 1 species